rnacentral:rRNA from 1 species
GGGCACCCCCAGGAGUGGAGCCAGCGGCUUAAUUUAAACUCAACACGGGUAAACUUACCUGGUCAGGAAGCUGGAAGGAUUGAUAGAUUGAGAGCUCUUACUUGAGUCAAUGGGUGGUAGGGCAUGGUCGUUCUUCGUUGGAGGAGCGAUUUGUCUGGCUAAUUCCGAUAACGAACGAGACUCUGGCCUACUAAAUUACGUGCUCAACUUUAUAGCACCACCACCUUGCAGUUGCUUAAUGUGGUGGUAAGGCAUUCUCGACGUUGGAAGUGUUUCUUAAAGGGACAAGCGGCGGUGAACCCGCACGACACAGAGCAUCCACUGGAAUGUGAAGUCCGUUAGAUUACCUGGGCCCGGCCCCGCGCUUCCGGUGAAGUAACCGGGGGCAAAUUAACGUUUCUUACUCCCUCAAGACCGGGUCCCCCCUUUGAAACCUUUUUCGGGGUUGGGCAUUGGGGAAAGGGAAUAAGACCCCCUGGAACCGGGGAAAUUUCCCGUUGGGGGGGAAAAAAUUAAGAU